rnacentral:lncRNA from 1 species
AUUAUCAAAAUCGGAGUUAAAAUAACCGUUAAAUCGUGAUUUUUCGUUUAUAACCGUCGAAAAUUUUUGUCCUGUUACUUGAUCUCUGAAUGUUUGUUUUUUUCAAUUUUUGGCGUAUGCGAUCUCGAAGUAUAUACAAACAUGUUUGACGGUUGGAUCAUUGAAACUAGUUUCGUAGAAUGCGUAUCCCAUCAAAACAAUAGAUUCACUAACACUUAAGAAUUUAUUCAUACUUUCAUCAAGUAUAACAUAAGAUUUUGUGGUAUCCCCUAGUGUAAAUAUUUUAAAUUGAAGAUCGAAUUCAUUCAUUGUAUUCAUAUAGGGUCAUGGAGUGUAGAUGUAAAAAAUCAUCAAAAUCAGAGUUAAAAUAACCGUUAAAUCGUGAUUUUUCGUUUAUAACCGUCGAAAAGUUUUGUCUCGUUACUUGAUCUCUGAAUGUUUGCUUUUUGCAAUUUUUGGUGUAUACGAUCUCGAAGCAUAUACAAACAAGUUUGACGGUUGGAUCAUUGAAACUAGUUUUGCAAAAUGCGUAUCUCAUCAAAACAAUAAAUUCACUAACACUUAAAGAGUUUAUUCAUAUUUUCAUUAAGUAUAACAUAAGAUUUGUGGUAUCCACUAGUGUAAAUAUUUUAAAUUGAAGAUUGAAUUCAUUCAUUGUAUUCAUACAGGGUCAAGGAGUGUAGCUGUAAAAAAUUAUCAAAAUUGGAGUUAAAAUAACCGUUAAAUCGUGAUUUUUCGUUUAUAACCGUUGAAAGGUUUUGGCUCGUUACUUGAUCUCUGAUUGUUUGUUUUUUUCAAUUUUUGGCAUAUGCGAUCUCGAAGUAUAUACAAACACGUUUGACGGUUGGAUCGUUGAAAUUAGUUUCGUAGAAUGCGUAUCCCAUCAAAACAAUAGAUUCACUAACACUUAAGAGUUUAUUCAUACUUUCAUCAAGUAUAACAUAAGAUUUUAUGGUAUCCCCUGGUGUAAAUAUUUUAAAUUGAAGAUCGAAUUCAUUCAUUGUAUUCACAUAUGGUCAAGGAGUGUAGCUGUAAAAAAUCAUCAAAAUCGGAGUUAAAAUAACCGUUAAAUCGUGAUUUUUCGUUUAUAACCGUCGAAAGGUUUUGUCCCGUUACUUGAUCUGUGAAUGUUUUUUUUUUUGUAAUUUUUUGCUGAUGCAAUCUCGAAGCAUAUACAAAUAAGUUUGACGGUUUGAUCGUUGAAAUUAGUUUCUUAUAAUUCGUAUCCUAUGAAGUUCAAUGGUGUGUGUGUGUAUAUAUAUAUUUAUUUAUUUAUUAAGUAGAUUUAAAUCUAUUUAUCUUGUAUGUAUAAUUAUUAUAGUUUUUAGGGGUAUAAAAUUUAAUAUAUAUAUAUAUAAAUAUAACUAUUAUAGUUAAUAUUUUGGGAGUAUAAUUAUUA